AUUUCUUGUAGGCGCUUCCCAGGCAUUCAAGGAGGAAAAGAAAUCAAGUGGAUCCAAGCAUGAAGGCCCAGAUGUAGCUAAGGGUCAUACAGAAUCUGCUUCGAGUCCUGUUGCAGAAACAUUCAGAGUUAUUCAGGGAGCCAUCAGUAAAGAAUUUGUGAGAUCUACGCAGGGUGUCUUCCAGUUUGAAUUAUCUGGUGAUGACGGAGGCACUUGGUACAUCGACCUGAAAACCAAUGACGGGAGCGCUGGCUUUGGAAAGCCUCCUGUGACGGCCGACGUAGUUAUGAGCAUGUCGAGUGGCGACUUUGUGAAAAUGUUCACAGGUAAACUAAAGCCAACCAUGGCCUUCAUGUCAGGAAAGUUAAAGAUCAAAGGUAACAUGGCACUAGCGAUAAAGCUGGAGAAGAUGCUGACACAGUUUAACUCUAAACUUUGAGGGGAAAGCCUUCCUAACAGAACAUUGGCCUUCUGUGUAUAAUGAUAAUGCUGUUUUUAAAUGCUAGUCCUUUCUGAUGAAAUAUAAUACGUAAGAAUAAAAUGUGAGACUGUUAGAGGAGAAAUAACUGAGUCUGAUUAAGACUAGAAGGUGUUUGCCUUGAUUAAACGAAUUCCUUCUUGAGAACACA